CAGCCGCCGCGGUAAAACGGAGGGCGCGAGCGUUACCCGGAUUUACUGGGCGUAAAGGGCGUGUAGGCGGCCUGGGGCGUCCCAUGUGAAAGGCCACGGCUCAACCGUGGAGGAGCGUGGGAUACGCUCAGGCUAGAGGGUGGGAGAGGGUGGUGGAAUUCCCGGAGUAGCGGUGAAAUGCGCAGAUACCGGGAGGAACGCCGAUGGCGAAGGCAGCCACCUGGUCCACUUCUGACGCUGAGGCGCGAAAGCGUGGGGAGCAAACCGGAUUAGAUACCCCCGUAGUCCCUGUCUCUUAUAC
rnacentral:rRNA from 1 species